CGAAUGCUGACAUAAGUAACGAUAAAGCGGGUGAAAAGCCCGCUCGCCGGAAGACCAAGGGUUCCUGUCCAACGUUAAUCGGGGCAGGGUGAGUCGACCCCUAAGGCGAGGCCGAAAGGCGUAGUCGAUGGGAAACAGGUUAAUAUUCCUGUACUUGGUGUUACUGCGAAGGGGGGACGGAGAAGGCUAUGUUGGCCGGGCGACGGUUGUCCCGGUUUAAGCGUGUAGGCUGGUUUUCCAGGCAAAUCCGGAAAAUCAAGGCUGAGGCGUGAUGACGAGGCAC
rnacentral:rRNA from 1 species